GUGGGGAAUAUUGGACAAUGGGCGAAAGCCUGAUCCAGCCAUGCCGCGUGUGUGAAGAAGGUCUUCGGAUUGUAAAGCACUUUAAGUUGGGAGGAAGGGCAGUAAGUUAAUACCUUGCUGUUUUGACGUUACCGACAGAAUAAGCACCGGCUAACUUCGUGCCAGCAGCCGCGGUAAUACGAAGGGUGCAAGCGUUAAUCGGAAUUACUGGGCGUAAAGCGCGCGUAGGUGGUUUUGUAAGUUGGAGGUGAAAUCCCCGGGCUCAACCUGGGAACUGCCUCCAAAACUGCAUGACUAGAGUACGGUAGAGGGUAGUGGAAUUUCCGGUGUAGCGGUGAAAUGCGUAGAUAUAGGAAGGAACACCAGUGGCGAAGGCGACUACCUGGACUGAUACUGACACUGAGGUGCGAAAGCGUGGGGAGCAAACAGGAUUAGAUACCCGUGUAGUCC
rnacentral:rRNA from 1 species